GGGGUUGUGGCUCAGGGGUAGAGCGCCUGCCUGGCAUGUGUGAGGGGCUGGGUUCCAUCCCCAGCACCACCA
rnacentral:tRNA from 1 species